rnacentral:rRNA from 1 species
AUUGAACGCUGGCGGCAUGCCUUACACAUGCAAGUCGAACGGCAGCACGGGGGCAACCCUGGUGGCGAGUGGCGAACGGGUGAGUAACAUAUCGGAACGUGCCCUGGAGUGGGGGAUAACUAGUCGAAAGACUAGCUAAUACCGCAUACGAUCUACGGAUGAAAGUGGGGGAUCGCAAGACCUCAUGCUCGUGGAGCGGCCGAUAUCUGAUUAGCUAGUUGGUGGGGUAAAGACCUACCAAGGCAUCGAUCAGUAGCUGGUCUGAGAGGACGACCAGCCACACUGGGACUGAGACACGGCCCAG